GGAGGGGUGGCAGAGUGGCCGAAUGCACUGGUCUUGAAAACCAGCAGGGGUUANNGGUUAAUAGCUCCUCGAGAGUUCAAAUCUCUCCUCCUCCGCCA
rnacentral:tRNA from 1 species